AUAGAGACUCAGAGCUGCAUAUCAAUAAGCGGAGGAAAAGAAACUAACAAGGAUUCCCUUAGUAACGGCGAGUGAAGCGGGAAGAGCUCAAAUUUGAAAUCUUCAAGGUUCUACCUUGACGAAUUGUAGUUUAUAAGAAGUGUUUUCUGUUAGUGAGUGGCUAAAAGUUCUUUGGAAUAGGACAUCAUAGAGGGUGAGAAUCCCGUAUUUGACCAUUAUUUCCAGCUGUGUGAUACACUUUCAAAGAGUCGGAUUGUUUGGGAAUGCAGUCCAAAAUGGGUGGUAAAUUUCAUCUAAAGCUAAAUAUUGGCGAGAGACCGAUAGCGAACAAGUACCGUGAGGGAAAGAUGAAAAGAACUUUGAAAAGAGAGUUAAACAGUACGUGAAAUUGUCAAAAGGGAAGCGUUUGACACCAGUGUUGUUUUUCCGAAAAUCAAUUAUGAAUGUCUUGAUUUUGAGAGUUUCAUGACCUUAAGGCUUGUUCUCUAUUUUCAUGUACUUUCUUAAUGCACUUUUCGGUUAACAAGUCAACAUCAAUUUCUUUUGUUGUAAAAGGUUAAGAGGAAGGUGGCUUCAGCUUCGGUGAAGUGUUUAUAGCCUUUUAGCUCUGCAAUCGGAGAGAUUGAGGUCUGCAGCGUAGAUCCUUCGGGGUUAGAUACAGUUUGUGCUAAGUUAUAGCUUUUCAUAGACAACUUGUUGACUAUGUUAGUCUUGUGAAUUUACUCGCUGAUGCUAUUUUACCUACGCUUAGGAUGUUGAAGAUAUGCGCGACACG
rnacentral:rRNA from 1 species